rnacentral:rRNA from 1 species
UACGUAGGGCGCAAGCGUUGUCCGGAAUUGUUGGGCGUAAAGAGCUCGUAGGCGGCUUGUCACGUCGGGUGUGAAAGCCCGGGGCUUAACCCCGGGUCUGCAUUCGAUACGGGCUAGCUAGAGUGUGGUAGGGGAGAUCGGAAUUCCUGGUGUAGCGGUGAAAUGCGCAGAUAUCAGGAAGAACACCCGUGGCUAAGGCGGCUCUCUAGUACGGUACUGAAGCUGAGACGCGAAAGCGUGGGGAGCGAACAGG